UACGGGGGGGGGCAAGCGUUGUUCGGAAUUACUGGGCGUAAAGGGCUCGUAGGCGGCCAACUAAGUCGGAUGUGAAAUCCCCAGGCUCAACCUGGGAACUGCAUCCGAUACUGGAUGGCUUGAAUUCGGGAGAGGGAUGCGGAAUUCCAGGUGUAGCGGUGAAAUGCGUAGAUAUCUGGAGGAAUACCGGUGGCGAAGGCGGCAUCCUGGACCGACAUUGACGCUGAGGAGCGAAAGCCAGGGGAGCAAACGGG
rnacentral:rRNA from 1 species